GAUGAACGCUGGCGGCGUGCCUAAUACAUGCAAGUCGAGCGAACAGACGAGGAGCUUGCUCCUCUGACGUUUGCGGCGGACGGGUGAGUAACACGUGGAUAACCUACCUAUAAGACUGGGAUAACUUCGGGAAACCGGAGCUAAUACCGGAUAAUAUAUUGAACCGCAUGGUUCAAUAGUGAAAGACGGUUUUGCUGUCACUUAUAGAUGGAUCCGCGCCGCAUUAGCUAGUUGGUAAGGUAACGGCUUACCAAGGCGACGAUGCGUAGCCGACCUGAGAGGGUGAUCGGCCACACUGGAACUGAGACACGGUCCAGACUCCUACGGGAGGCAGCAGUAGGGAAUCUUCCGCAAUGGGCGAAAGCCUGACGGAGCAACGCCGCGUGAGUGAUGAAGGUCUUCGGAUCGUAAAACUCUGUUAUUAGGGAAGAACAAAUGUGUAAGUAACUAUGCACGUCUUGACGGUACCUAAUCAGAAAGCCACGGCUAACUACGUG
rnacentral:rRNA from 1 species